GGAUUGAGAAACACUGUAUCCCAUCAACAUAAAUCUGGCAGUGCAGAAAUUCUGUAACACAAUUGGCAUGGUUACAGGACCGUAAAGUGUGUAAUAUUUCCCAUUGUUUAACGGCUGUCUGGAGAGGAUAUUGUGCCUUGCCCAAAACAAAAUCUUGUGUCUUGUCGGUAUGGAGCUGGACUAUUGUUACAGAUGUUGCAGGAGCAGCUCUGAAAGUCAUCUGUUUCAAGUUGUUCAGUUAAUGAUGUGAAGAAAAAAA
ensembl:lncRNA